GCAUUUGCUGCUGGGAAACUUGUCUUUGUUGUUUUCCUUUUUCCAUUUCAUCCUCCUGUUCUGGAACCAGAUUUUGACCUGCCUUUCUGUCAAUCCCAGGGCAUGCGAGACCUCGAUCCUCCGUUUGCGGGUCAGCCCCCGCCCGCUCCUCCCCCGCCGAGGACUGCUUCGAAUGUGGUUGGGGAUGAUGGCGAGCGCAAAGUGUGGUGUCCCUUAUCGCACCCCGAACACAACCGGUACUCUCGGUUCCUGCCGCUUCCCACCGCACCCGUCCGCGCGGUUUUGACACCAGAAAGGUGAAUUAAAGGCGGUUUCACUCGUCCCUGCCUUCCACCGAGGGAUGAUUUUCAACCUCCACAACGUGGAAAAGAGGAAAAAGUUGGAAUGUUUCGGUUUUUUCUGUCUUGUCAAGGCUUGGGUAAAAAAAAAUAUUAAAAAAAUUGCAUUAGAAUUGGCAGUGGGAAUAGGCAGGGAAUUAAGGAAGGCAGGAAGGGAAAGAGAGAGGGAAAGAAAGAAAACAAAGAUAGUAACGGAAUAAAACUUUAAAAACGUCCUUAGAGAAAUAAUUUAAGUAAAUACGUUUCCUUUAUUUUGUACAGGGAUAAUUUCAGCCGAGUCUAAGAGCCUUUUCAAGUAAUUAUUGUUGUUGGAGUACUUGCAGUGGUAUAAUUAAGGCUUUCCCCCCCCUAAAAGACAAGUUAACAUUUUAUUUUUCUCAACACUUUUAUUGUCGAUUAAGCAGAUUUUGGUUUCAUCUUUGACCAUAAAACCCCAGAAAUGGCGCACAGAAGUAAAUAGAGCUUUGCAGCCUGGAUUGGGGGUGCUCGGCGCUGGAAUUUUCAAGAAAGCAACAACAAAAAAAUUUAAAUAGACUAAAGUGUCUUUAGAAAAGAAGCUUUCGUCUUCUUUGUGUAUUUGCAGGCGUGCUCCCAUCUAUCCAAGCUUUUAAACAGAAAAAUAGCAGGAAUUCCCGUUCCUACGUGGACCCUAAGAAGGUGAGAGUGAAGUUGUUAUUGGAAGUUAACAUUUUUAUCAAGUGCAGUAGGAUUUUAUGGUCAUGACGUGCUGGUAACUCACCGAUGCA